UACGUAGGGGGCAAGCGUUGUCCGGAAUCAUUGGGCGUAAAGGGUGCGUAGGUGGCGCCAUAAGUCAGGUGUGAAAUCUCGGGGCUUAACUCCGAAGCUGCAUUUGAUACUGUGGUGCUUGAGGACUGGAGAGGAGACUGGAAUUUACGGUGUAGCAGUGAAAUGCGUAGAGAUCGUAAGGAAGACCAGUGGCGAAGGCGGGUCUCUGGACAGUUCCUGACACUGAGGCACGAAGGCCAGGGGAGCAAACGGG
rnacentral:rRNA from 1 species